rnacentral:misc_RNA from 1 species
UUCUUCGUCGUGGCCACUCCUUGGGAUUGGAGGCUACUGAGAGAAUGCUUUCCGUCUAUUGGGGAUGACGUGUGUGAAUGCGGCAAAAAGGCGGGAAGGAGACGAAAAGAGCGCGGUCGCCUUGGCAGGUUCAAAAAACGGUGCGGCGAUGAGACCGGCGUCGCGGCGCCACUCGACAGCUUCGGAGGGCCGGAACCAACAGGUGUCGCCCUGGCGUCGGUGCCACUCGUCGACCGAGUUAAGUGCGGAGGCGCCGGCCGCCGCCCUGCCGUCGGCCGCCAGCGUGCAGCAGCUGGACUCACUGCUGCACUCGCUCGGCGCCGAUUCGUCUGCACGGCCGGCAGCCGGCCCCACGUCCAUACCAAAGAUGCUUAGUCAGUAGACAGUGAACGCGUAGAGACAAGCGCCGCAGCCGACCGUCGGCUCAGAAGACCAAGCACACGUUAAUUUUGAAUUCCAAGACUUUGGCGGAGAGUGAGGGGAGCGCGCGUGAUGCAGCUGAUGCAUAAUGCAAGUGAUAUUUAUUAAACGCUGUUUGGUGUUGAGGCGGUCUCGCGACCACCGGUCGGCGAGAGCGAGUAUUUUUCUCGAGAGAGAGCGCGUGAACGAGAGCGAGCGAGAGAGUUCGAGAGGGCCAGCUAUCGGCAGAUAGCCGCCUUUUCACGGCUUGACACCGCAGGGAAUGUUUAUGCCGUGGACGUUUUUAGUGUUCAAAAUAUCUUUGCGUUGGAAGAUAUUUUCCUAUAUUUGUACAAACUUGAUUUUGACCGCAGUUCCCAGUGCGGAACAGUAGAGCCACAGUGCAGCGGCGUCGGUCGGCCCUGGUGGUGGCUUCACGAACCACGUCCGGGCCGGUCCUGAACUACGAUUGGUCGAGGCGAGCUUGCACUCGCGCUGUCGGCAAGGCUGGUCGGCGCGUCGGAGAUAUUCCGGCUCGCGCAGGCGUGGGCCGCCGUUUGGUACAUCUAGUCACAGCUGAAUAAUAUUAUCUCUAGUUUGGUACGGGAGGUCACCCGUACCCUUCUCCCAGGGGCUCCGGAGAGCGUACAAAAAGAGCGGGCUUGCAAUGUUUGCCUCGCGUUUUGUUGUUUUCAUCUAACCGAGUGCUGCAAAGAACGUAACGUAACGAAACAGUCGUCCGACGGCGUCAACCAUAUUACGUGUCGAUUUCCUGUGCCCCUGUUCUGUCCCUCCGGCAGUACUAAAACUAGAAUAUUAUGUUGCUCAAGCGGUGAAACGUGGCGCCCGGCGCGCGGGCGGAUACUGUGCUGUACAUACGUGUGAGUCGAUCAGUCGUGUAGGACUAUUUAGUUAAUACCU